GGGAGUCGUGGAGGGAACUUUCCCAGGCCCCGAGGCGGAUCGGGUAUUGAGUCCAUGGAGCGAGCUGAGAGCUAGAGAACCUGCUAAGGCCAUCAAACCUAUCGAUCGGAAGUCAGUCCAUCAGAUUUGCUCUGGGCCGGUGGUACUGAGUCUAAGCACUGCGGUGAAGGAGUUAGUAGAAAACAGUCUGGAUGCUGGUGCCACCAAUAUUGAUCUAAAGCUUAAGGACUAUGGAGUGGAUCUCAUUGAAGUUUCAGACAAUGGAUGUGGGGUAGAAGAAGAAAACUUUGAAGGCUUAACGAUGUCACCAUUUCUACCUGCCACGCAUCGGCGAAGGUUGGGACUCGACUGGUGUUUGAUCACGAUGGGAAAAUCAUCCAGAAAACCCCCUACCCCCACCCCAGAGGGACCACAGUCAGCGUGAAGCAGUUAUUUUCUACACUACCUGUGCACCAUAAGGAAUUUCAAAGGAAUAUUAAGAAGACGUGCCUGUUUCCCCUUCGCCUUCUGCCGUGAUUGUCAGUUUCCUGAGGCCUCCCCAGCCAUGCUUCCUGUACAGCCUGCAGAACUGGACCAUUGCAAGCUGCAGAAAAUGAGAAGACCCUACUGACCAGCCCAAGAAGACAGAUGACAAGAUACUGAGGUUGGGAUUCCCUAAGGAAAUGAUCCAGCAGAUCACUCCAAGAUAGAGUCAACCCCAAACCAUUAGGGUGCUCUUUAUUUUUUAUUAUUAUUUUUAUUUAUUUAUUUUUGAGACGGAGUCAUGCUCUGUUGCCCAGGCUGGAGUGCAGUGGCGCAAUCUCGGCUUCAUUGCAACCUCCACCUCUCGGGUUCAAGUGAUUCUCCUGCCUCAGCCUCCCGAGUAGCUGGGAUUACAGGUGUGCACCACCAUACCCAGCUAAUUUUUGUAUUUUUUGAAGAGAUGGGGUUGCACCAUGUUGGCCAGGCUGGUCUUUAGUCUCCCAUUCUCAAAUACAAGCAUAUAACCAAUGACCAUCAGCCACCUCAGAAAAACUUCUAACAUGAUAGAGGGAUAAAAAUAAAAAGAGGCUGGGGGCAGUGGCUGGGCGCAGACACUCUGUCACCCAGGCUGGAGUGCAAUGGCAUGAUCUCAGCUCACUGCAACCUCUACAUCCCAGGUACAAGAGAUUCUCCUGCCUCAGCCUCCAGGGUAGCUGGGACUACAGGCACACGCCACCACGCCCGGCUAAUUUUUUGUAUUUUUAGUAGAGAUGGGGUUUCACCAUGUUAGCCAGGCUGGUCUUGAACUCCUGACCUCAGGUGAUUCACCUGCCUAGGCCUCCCAAAGUGCUGGGAUAACAGGCGUGAGCUACUGCACCUGACAAAAAAGAUUUUUUUUUUAAUAUUAAAGAACUAGUCCAUAAGACCCAA
ensembl:lncRNA PMS2P4 PMS1 homolog 2, mismatch repair system component pseudogene 4